UGGCGAGUGGCGAACGGGUGAGUAAUGCAUCGGAACGUACCCGGGAGUGGGGGAUAACUAUCCGAAAGGAUAGCUAAUACCGCAUAUUCUGUGCGCAGGAAAGCAGGGGACCUUCGGGCCUUGUGCUCCCGGAGCGGCCGAUGUCAGAUUAGCUAGUUGGUGGGGUAAAGGCCUACCAAGGCGACGAUCUGUAGCGGGUCUGAGAGGAUGAUCCGCCACACUGGAACUGAGACACGGUCCAGACUCCUACGGGAGGCAGCAGUGGGGAAUUUUGGACAAUGGGGGCAACCCUGAUCCAGCCAUGCCGCGUGAGUGAAGAAGGCCUUCGGGUUGUAAAGCUCUUGCGGCCGGGAAGAAAUCGCGUUGGCUAAUACCCAGCGUGGAUGACGGUACCGGAAUAAGAAGCACCGGCUAACUACGUGCCAGCAGCCGCGGUAAAUACGUAGGGUGCGAGCGUUAAUCGGAAUUACUGGGCGUAAAGCGUGCGCAGGCGGGUUUUUAACGAUAUGCGUGAAAUCCCCGGGCUCAACUGGGAACUGCGCUUAUGACUGGAAGACUAGAGUAUGGCAGAGGGGGGUGGAAUUCCACGUGUAGCAGUGAAAUGCGUAGAGAUGUGGAGGAACACCGAUGGCGAAGGUAGCCCCCUGGGCCAAUACUGACGCUCAUGCACGAAAGCGUGGGGAGCAAACAGGAUUAGAUACCCUGGUAGUCCACGCCCUAAACGAUGUCAACUAGUUGUUGGGAGGGUAAAACCUUUUAGUAACGGAGCUAACGCGUGAAGUUGACCGCCUGGGGAGUACGGCCGCAAGGUUAAAACUCAAAGGAAUUGACGGGGACCCGCACAAGCGGUGGAUGAUGUGGAUUAAUUCGAUGCACCGCGAAAAACCUUACCUACCCUUGACAUGCCAGGAACUUGCCAGAGAUGGCUUGGUGCCCGAAAGGGAGCCUGGACACAGGUGCUGCAUGGCUGUCGUCAGCUCGUGUCGUGAGAUGUUGGGUUAAGUCCCGCAACGAGCGCAACCCUUGUCGUUAAUUGCCAUCAUUUAGUUGGGCACUUUAACGAGACUGCCGGUGACAAACCGGAGGAAGGUGGGGAUGACGUCAAGUCCUCAUGGCCCUUAUGGGUAGGGCUUCACACGUCAUACAAUGGUCGGUACAGAGGGUUGCCAAGCCGCGAGGUGGAGCCAAUCCCAGAAAGCCGAUCGUAGUCCGGAUCGUAGGCUGCAACUCGCCUGCGUGAAGUCGGAAUCGCUAGUAAUCGCGGAUCAGCAUGCUGCGGUGAUACGUUCCCGGGUCUUGUACACACCGCCCGUCACACCAUGGGAGUGGGUUUCACCAGAAGUAGGUAGCUUA
rnacentral:rRNA from 1 species